rnacentral:lncRNA from 1 species
GGUAAGGUGGUCGGAUGAUGGGCCGACCGCAGACAGGAUUUUAUGGAGACGGCCAGACGGCCCAAUAACAAAAAAAGGCCCAUGUUGUGCAACAAAAGCAAUUCCAAAAGCGUAGCGAUUCAGUACUUUACCAUGCUCUGGUGUCAUGAGAGUGCCAUAUACUAUUCAGUUCUAAACAACUUAUAUCACAGCAGCUACUAGGACAUACUAUGCAAUCCACAUAUGGGGUAACCACGCUGAGAAUUUCAUAUUUGCAUGCUCACAUUCGAGAAGAACUAAAAAGCUGUCGUAGUGCCUAAGGCUGUCAUACUUAUGUAGUCGUAACCACAAAGAUGAGAGAGCAAUAUAGUUUUCUAUAAAAUGAUGAUAGACUACAGAAAAUGGUCCAAUUUCAAAUCUUC